rnacentral:misc_RNA from 1 species
AAUUUGAUUUUCAUUUCCCUCAAAAAUGACGUACUAAGAUAUUUCACCCAUAUGACUUCCCAACAGCUGUUUGGUUGUAUUUCAGAUAUUGCUGGAGAUAUUGUUUGCUGAAAAGUGAUGAAAUGACGUCUGAAUUGUCAGCCUCAUGUAUUGAACAGGCUGUAAACCAGUUUUAUUCGGGCGGACAGCAGCAACAGAUCGAGCAGUGGCUUACCCUCACCCAGAUCUCCCCCCAGGCCUGGGGAUUCUGCUGGGACCUUCUCUCACCUGAAAAGACUGUGGAGGUGCGAUUCUAUGGAGCCAAUACUCUUUAUGCAAAAAUUUCAAGAUACUGGUCUGAGGUGCCUCAUGAUCAAUAUGACAAUCUGCGAACCAGAUUACUGCAGAAAAUCAUGGAGCUGUGCAGCGGAGACAAAAUCAUCACCACCCGACUCUGUGUCUCACUGGCUGCCCUGAUUUUACACAUGACCCCUGAGGACUGGCCGGACCCUGUCCCUCAACUCAUCUCCACAUUUCAAUCACUACAGACUGUCACAGAGGAGCAGCGAUGCCAGGUGUUACUGGAGAUUCUGCGUGUUCUUCCUGAAGAGUAUUUCAGUGCCAACUUGAGUCAAAGCAGAAGACUUGUUCUGAAUGGGGAACUCAACAAAAGUCUUUCACAUGUGUUGCCGCUGUUGCGUAGCCUGUUGCUGCCUGGAGCCCCGACAGACGUAAAGCGAGCGGCCCUGCAGUGCUUCUCUAGCUGGUUGGACCUGGGCUCGGUGUUUUCCGAGGCGGAGGACAUCAUCCUUCUGACCUUCCAGUGUCUCCAGAACCAGGACCUGUUUGACACGGCUGUGGAGACCCUGGUCAACGUUUUCUCCCAUCCCAGCAAUGAAAGAUAUCACAACACCAUGAAGAAGUACCUGCCAUGUGUUCUAGGAUUGCAGGAUUCUUUCAUGAAAGCCAGAGAUUCUCUAGAUAUGGAUGUUUGUCAGAGGGUAGGACAAAUCAUCAUCUCUUUUGCGGAGAACAAUGUCACUCUUUUACUGCAGUGGGCCGUCGACCCAGAAGUAAGGGAGACAACCAUCAACUUCAUCAACCUAGUCCUGACUUGCACAUCCAUUCCUGGCCAUUUCCCUGUAGAUGAGAAUUUUAGCAACAUGUUUUUCACGUUUUGGUAUCUUCUUCAAGAUGGUAUACAGGACCCCCCUGUGGAGCGCUCUAAAGUCCUGCACCAGAUGUUUUGUCCAAUAUUUUUGUCCCUCAUCCAGACCCUUCUGAUCAAAGUCCAGUACCCAGAGGAAGAAGAGUACAACUCAUGGACUAAAGAUGAUAAAGAAGAAUUUCGUUGUUACAGACAAGACAUUGGUGACACAAUGCAUCUUAAGGGAACCCUUGCUGGGCUUCAUGUGCAAUACACUCAACAGCGGUGCUGAAAAUCCAAAGGAAACACAAUGGCAGUUAAUAGAGGCAGUCUUUUUCCUGUUUACUUCUGUCGCUGAAAAUGUGGACUUGGAGGAGGAAGUUCACAUUCCGAGCAUGCUCAGUGUGCUCCCAAAGCUCCCCUACAACAAUGUCAAGUACAUCUCAGCAGCUCUCAAAAUGAUAGGGUCGUACAGUGAAUGGAUAAACUGCCACCCCGGCUACCUCAACUGUGUGAUCCCCCUCAUUCUACAGGGUCUCCAGGGUCUACAGAACUCGGAAAUAGCCGAGUCAGCCACCAUGUCACUUAAAGAUGUCACAGGAGAGAACCUGGACCACAUACAACCCCACGCCCCCCAGAUCCUUGGGGCCUGUCAGCAUGCCUUCCAAAGUGGACUUCUAAAGACCCGGGACAGCAUGCGACUGAUGCACUCAGUGGGGCAGGUGCUCUCUGUGAUGAAGUACGACGAUAUCAUGCAGUAUCUGACCUCCCUACUCUCACCAUUACUCCAAGAACUUCAGAAUCUCAUCACUCGAGAGCCCUCCACCCCUGUGAAAGCUGCUAUCCUGUCCAGGUUGUCCAUACUUGGUUCUUUAUUUUCUUCUCUGGACACAGAACGAGACAAAGAAGAUGUCAAGGUCAAACCGAGAUCAACCGAACCAAAACCAGUGGCUGUGCUCCUACAGCAGUUAGCUCCCAUCAUACAGGGCCUCCUGGCCAAUUGGAUCACAGACCCUGGAGUGAUAGAGGGAAUCUGCGCCAUGUUUAAGCAUGCUCUGAAAACCUUGUUAGACGACUUUGGUUUGUUGUCCAAGGAUGUUGCGGAGAUGUUGGUACAGAUGUAUCAAGUGAAUCCUAGUCCAGCCAUCUUAGAUUUGUCAAAACAGUUAAUCAUCAUGCACCACGAGGACUCCCAGCUGAGUCCAGUGGUAGUCACUCUCUUAGGAAGUCUGUCCACUAUAACCCUGGAACUCUUCACAAAGGGCCCCCAGAAUUACACUGAUGUGAUUGAAGCUUUCAUGAAUCUCCUAUCACAAGUUCUGAAGAAAAGCAAAGCCAUCCUGACCACAGAGCAGUGUGUAGUACAGAUGAAAAGUCUCUUCCACUCAGCUCUACAAGCAUUGUCCCUUCCCGAGCAUCAGACCGUCAAAGCUACCUGCUCCUUUCUGGGAGAGUUCUUGUCGGCUGGGGAGACUACUCCGGUGAUAAAAGCUCUGGUUCAGGAAGAAGGCAGUCUUCUGUUGGACAAAAUACUGAGAGCAGUAGGCGGAGAAUCUGCCAGAGGAUUGGUCGAGAACUUGUCAGACAUUUUCCUUAUGCUGAACAAACACUACCCAGAGAACAUGCCUGUGUGGAUGAACCAACUCCUGAAACAGGAAGGCUACCCCUCUCCGAAGGUCACAAAGGCAGACAAGGAUAUUUUCAUCAAAGCAGUUCUCAGGGAGAAGAUCAACAAAAGAAAAAUCCGGGAAGUGUCUAAGGAGUUUUCAUUGAAGUGUCGAGGGAUGUUUGGAACUGAAUAUGCAGCAAAUACAGGGUUUCCAUGAUGUUUUGGAGAGUGAACUAUAUUCUCUCAUUUUGUGUGCAACUCCAUCCAACACUGAGUUAAUGCUCUGCUUCUGUGAUAUGCCUAUAUUGAAGUCUUUAUUUGCUCCCAUUAAAAUUUUUAG